rnacentral:misc_RNA from 1 species
AUCUACCUUGGGAGAAAUGACAUUGGAGGAGUUUCUGGUGAAAGCAGGUGUAGUUAGAGAAGAUAUGCAAUCUACUUCAAACUCAAGUGGUAUUACAUUUAACAAUGGUUUAAGUCAACAGAACAACAACAAUGGUUUCAACAUAGCAUUUCAGCAACCAACUCAAAACAAUGGACUGUUGAUUAAUCAAAUAGCAGCCAAUAACAUGUUGAAUGUGGUUGGUGCCACGGCCUCACAGCAACAACAACCUCAACAGCAACAGCCUCUUUUCCCCAAGCAAACAACAGUGGCGUUUGCAUCUCCUAUGCAGUUAUCAAAUAAUGGUCACCUGGCUAGCCCACGAACAAGGGCUCCUGCUGUUGGAAUGUCCAGUCCUUCUGUAAAUGCUAGUAUGGCUCAAGGCGGAGUUAUGGGGAAGACAGGAUUUCAUAAUGGAGUUUCACCAGCAAAAGUAGGAUCCCCUGGAAACGAUUUUAUUGCAAGGAGCAAUGUGGAUACAUCGUCUCUUUCACCUUCCCCCUAUGCAUUUAGUGAAGGUGGAAGGGGAAGGAGAUCUGGUAGUUCUUUGGAAAAAGUUGUGGAGCGAAGGCGUAGGAGGAUGAUUAAGAACAGAGAAUCUGCAGCUAGAUCAAGGGCUCGGAAGCAGGCCUAUACUUUAGAGUUGGAAGCUGAA